rnacentral:rRNA from 1 species
GAUGAACGCUAGCUACAGGCUUAACACAUGCAAGUUGAACGGGAACAUACGAUAGCUUGCUAUAGUAUGUGAGAGUGGCGCACGGGUGAGUAAUACAUGGGAACAUACCUUGAAGUGGGGGAUAACUUCUGGAAACGGAUGCUAAUACCGCAUAUACCCUGAGGGGGAAAGAUUUAUCGCUUUAAGAUUGGCCCAUGGCAGAUUAGGUAGUUGGUGGGGUAAAGGCCUACCAAGCCGACGAUCUGUAGCUGGUCUGAGAGGACGACCAGCCACACUGGGACUGAGACACGGCCCAGACUCCUACGGGAGGCAGCAGUGGGGAAUUCUGGACAAUGGGGGCAACCCUGAUCCAGCCAUGCCGCGUGCAGGAUGAAGGCCUUCGGGUUGUAAACUGCUUUUGUCAGGGACGAAAAGGACCGUGUUAAUACCAUGGUCUGCUGACGGUACCUGAAGAAUAAGCACCGGCUAACUACGUGCCAGCAGCCGCGGUAAUACGUAGGGUGCAAGCGUUAAUCGGAAUUACUGGGCGUAAAGCGUGCGCAGGCGGUUCUGUAAGACAGAUGUGAAAUCCCCGGGCUCAACCUGGGAAUUGCAUUUGUGACUGCAGGACUAGAGUUCAUCAGAGGGGGGUGGAAUUCCAAGUGUAGCAGUGAAAUGCGUAGAUAUUUGGAAGAACACCAAUGGCGAAGGCAGCCCCCUGGGAUGCGACUGACGCUCAUGCACGAAAGCGUGGGGAGCAAACAGG